CUGCAGCGUGCCCAGAAGCACUGAAUCCAUACUUCUGUGUCCUCCAUUCACUUUUAAAUAUAUCAAACAAAUGGAAUGUGGCAAAAGAAAAGGAAGCAACAUGCUAUAUGGACAAGACUUCAGGGGUUUUGUGCCCAGUUGUUCUACCCUGUCAAUAUAAGGGGUCUGCAUUCCAACAGCCUUGGAAGGAGAUCGUUCUUCUGUACAGAAGCAAGAAGAAACCGAUGCCGAACAGCUACCCUGGGUCCCUUCGUUCAGAAGUUUCAUUCUGCCCUCUACUGAAUUUCUGCGUAAG